AAUAGAUACCCAGGUAGUCCACGCCGUAAACGAUGGAUACUAGCUGUUGGGGGCAACUUCAGUGGCUAAGCGAAAGUGAUAAGUAUCCCACCUGGGGAGUACGAACGCAAGUUUGAAACUCAAAGGAAUUGACGGGGGCCCGCACAAGCGGUGGAGCAUGUGGUUUAAUUCGAUGAUACGCGAGGAACCUUACCAAGGCUUAAAUGCAGACUGACCGAUUUGGAAACAGAUCUUUCGCAAGACAGUUUACAAGGUGCUGCAUGGUUGUCGUCAGCUCGUGCCGUGAGGUGUCAGGUUAAGUCCUAUAACGAGCGCAACCCCUGUCGUUAGUUGCCAGCGAGUCAUGUCGGGAACUCUAACAAGACUGCCAGUGCAAACUGUGAGGAAGGUGAGGAUGACGUCAAAUCAUCACGGCCCUUACGCCUUGGGCUACACACGUGCUACAAUGGCCGGUACAGAGAGCAGCCACCUCGGCGAGGGGGAGCGAAAUCUAUAAAAGCCGGUCACAGUUCGGAUCGGAGUCUGCAAC
rnacentral:rRNA from 1 species